GCCCCACUGCUCCCGUAGUUCCGGAACCCCGUGCAGUGCAGGCUUAACCCAUUAACUUUUUCUCAAAAAAAUUUUGGCCACCCGUUUGGUCCUGUGGUCCCCCUUUGGCCACGUCGUCUCCCGUUUGGCCACGUGCUUCUCCCCCACUCCUUUAGGUUCGGAGUCGUUUUCAAGAAUUAAGUAAAUAUUCCAAAAUUGUUAUUUGUUAUGUUAUUGUUAUGCAAAAGAAACGAAUGUUUAAUCAAUGUCUGUAAAUUGGAUAAAGAUUUGUCCUGAUUUACAUAAACUUCGCCAGUGAACUCAUAAGAUGGGUCGUUUUUUAACUUUAUCUGAUAUUCAAACUGUCGCCUUCGGCUCGAGUUUAAUUCGUAUAUCAGAUAAAGAUAGACUGCUCAUGUU